rnacentral:lncRNA from 7 species
GCAGCUGCUCCUCUGCAGCUCCUGUGCUGCACAAGGCACCCAUCGGCGCUGCUCCUUCUUGAGUCAGGGCACAGCCAGCUGGGAGUGCAACGCCUGUGCUGGAGAGGGCACCGCCUCCGGCAGCGGUGUGGACAGAGCUGGCCCCAGCACCGCCAGCCAGCAGGGACUGCCGCCUCUCAUAGGCCCCAUAACAUUGGAGAGCAGCAGCACCUCCAGCACCACCAGCACCACCAGCACCUCCAGCACCUCCAGCACCACCAGCACCACCAGCACCACCAGCCAGGCACCGUCGGGGCCAGCUCACGUUCCCAAGGUGCCUGAGAGCGGCGUCCCGCCUAACCAGCACAGGACAAAAUGGCGGAGAAUCUGCACACGUUUACAUCGCAUUGACGAUGAAUGGAACGAGCCCCAAGAAUGCUGCGGGAGCAGCCGUGCUGCAGCCCUGCUGAGCGUUGAGAGCAGCACCCCGAACUCUGCCAGCCAGGGUACAUCACGUCCCUCAAGGCACUCCCGUGCAGCUGGCUCCAGCCACCGGCGCAGACGGGGACAGCAGGAUCGCACAAGAAGCCGCUCUCCGCUGCAGCGCCAGGCCGCAGGUUCCCCGAGCCAGCCCCAAAGGCACCGUGGGAGCAGGCAGGCACCAGCCCUUAGUGAUGAGAGCGGCACCCACAGACACACAGGACAAGGAACACCGAGGUCCUCAAGAGUUUCCGCAGCGGCUGCUGGAAGCCGGUCCAGGCAGCCAGGGCGGGCCCGGACUCGAAGCCGCUCGCCUCGUCAACAUCGGGAUGCAGACACCCGCAGCCAGCCCCACAGACGCCGCAGGAGCCGGUCCAGGCGGCGACGGCCAGCCCAGGGGCGAAGGCCGCUCCCGGGUACCACGUCGGGCCCGGAAUACCCACCGCCGGCCCCACUGAUGCUGUAGGAGCAGCCGUGUGCAAGCUCCACUUGCUAUCCAAAGUCAUCAGAGUCCAUCGCAAUAAAACACAGUUCC